rnacentral:rRNA from 1 species
UACGUAGGGCGCAAGCGUUUAUCCGGAAUUAUUGGGCGUAAAGAGCUCGUAGGCGGUUUGUCGCGUCUGCUGUGAAAACUGGAGGCUCAACCUCCAGCCUGCAGUGGGUACGGGCAGACUAGAGUGCGGUAGGGGAGAUUGGAAUUCCUGGUGUAGCGGUGGAAUGCGCAGAUAUCAGGAGGAACACCGAUGGCGAAGGCCAGAUCUCUGGGCCGUAACUGGACGCUGAGGAGCGAAAGCAUGGGGAGCGAACAGG